CCUGGCGGCCGUAGCGCGGUGGUCCCACCUGACCCCAUGCCGAACUCAGAAGUGAAACGCCGUAGCGCCGAUGGUAGUGUGGGGUCUCCCCAUGCGAGAGUAGGGAACUGCCA
rnacentral:rRNA from 7 species